UGCCAGCAGCCGCGGUAAUACGAAGGUCCCAAGCGUUGUUCGGAAUCACUGGGCGUAAAGCGUGUGUAGGCUGCGCGGAAAGUCAAAUGUGAAAGCCCGGGGCUCAACCUCGGAACUGCAUUCGAUACUCCCGUGCUAGAGUAAUGGAGAGGUAAGUGGAAUUCCUGGUGUAGCAGUGAAAUGCGUGGAUAUCAGGAGGAACAUCAAUGGCGAAGGCAACUUACUGGACAUUUACUGACGCUGAGGUACGAAAGCGUGGGUAGCAAACAGGAUAGAUA
rnacentral:rRNA from 1 species